UAUAAAUACUUGGACGAGCGUUUUCUUGAGGUUUUUCCAAGAUUCUUAGAUAUCCCUGACCUGAUCAACGUAGAAUUCAACUUAUUGUAUCCAAGCAUUGAGCAAGAUAUAUUUUUAAGCUUGUAUCCUGAGUAUAUAAAUGCAAUUUUACAUGUUUUUGCUAACGAGAAAAUUAACUCGAUUUUGCUAGAUUGGGAUCGAGUUUCUAAUUCUCUCAUUGCACUUGUUGCACUUAUACCACCAACUGUACAUGGUAAAAAAUUAGCAUCUAGAGAUAAGCUGGUAAACAUAGUUACAAAGUUGAUAUUUUUCCAGAAGUCAGGAACUCCAUUGCAAUCGCCUUUAAAUCAAGGUCGUUCUCAGCCAAAAUUAAUUGCCAUUGGCCCAAGUAAACGAGCU